AGAACUAUCAGUCACAAAUUUUUACCUCACCUUCCUUUUACUUCUAUCAAAUGGCCAGCAAGAAGUUCGCUUUGAUAAUUUCUCUGUUAUUUGCUCUAUGCUUCAUGUUUGACACAGAAGCAGUUUAUCAGCAGUGUAAUACUUUUUCAAGACCAUGCAACGGCAAAAGAUCAGCAAUUUUGAAGUCACGAACUCUUCAAAGAAACAUGAGGGAUAUGUGCGUGGCCAUGAGAAAUAUUUGCUCACUUGAGAAAGCUCAGCUGCAGGAUUUUAGUUAGUUAAAAGAUGGAUUUGGACCUAGCAUUGUGAUGUCCUUGGAAGUAAACGAAGUACGAAAUGACUACAUCUCUUGUACCUAGAGAAACGACUAUUACGAUAUGAAAAAAGCACCAAGGUAAAAGCAUGUGAAAAAUAAAAAAAAAUUACAACGAUA